UACGGAAGGGGCUAGCGUUGCUCGGAAUCACUGGGCGUAAAGCGCACGUAGGCGGAUCUUUAAGUCAGGGGUGAAAUCCUGGAGCUCAACUCCAGAACUGCCUUUGAUACUGAGAGACUUGAGUCCGGGAGAGGUGAGUGGAACUGCGAGUGUAGAGGUGAAAUUCGUAGAUAUUCGCAAGAACACCAGUGGCGAAGGCGGCUCACUGGCCCGGUACUGACGCUGAGGUGCGAAAAGCGUGGGGAGCGAACAGG
rnacentral:rRNA from 1 species